rnacentral:rRNA from 1 species
GUUAGCCGGUGCUUAUUCUGUUGGUAACGUCAAAACAGCAAGGUAUUAACUUACUGCCCUUCCUCCCAACUUAAAGUGCUUUACAAUCCGAAGACCUUCUUCACACACGCGGCAUGGCUGGAUCAGGCUUUCGCCCAUUGUCCAAUAUUCCCCACUGCUGCCUCCCGUAGGAGUCUGGACCGUGUCUCAGUUCCAGUGUGACUGAUCAUCCUCUCAGACCAGUUACGGAUCGUCGCCUUGGUAGGCCUUUACCCCACCAACUAGCUAAUCCGACCUAGGCUCAUCUGAUAGCGUGAGGUCUGAAGAUCCCCCACUUUCUCCCUCAGGACGUAUGCGGUAUUAGCGCCCGUUUCCGGACGUUAUCCCCCACUACCAGGCAGAUUCCUAGGCAUUACUCACCCGUCCGCCGCUGAAUCCAGGAGCAAGCUCCCUUCAUCCGCUCGACUUGCAUGUGUUAGGCCUGCCGCCAGCGUUCAAUCUGAGCCAGGAUCAAACUCUG